rnacentral:tRNA from 1 species
GCACCCGUAGCUCAACUGGAUAGNNUGGAUAGAGCAUCGGUCUACGGAACCGAAGGUUGGAGGUUCGAACCCUCCCGGGUGUA